CUAUUAUCAGUGAUGUUGUAAAAAUAAAUGUCUGAGCAUAUGAAUUACCAUAUUGAUUUCAGCAGUAGACUGAGAUUAAAA
rnacentral:snoRNA from 13 species